GACACUCUUUAAACAUAGAACUUUACUAAUACCAUUAAUACAUCACACAACAAUGAAAAGUUGCUGAAAAUAAAAUGCACAGAUCAAGCACUGUUUACACACGAAAGAAGCCUUAUUUAUUACAAACCCACGUUGUUUUAGUUCAAACGACAUUGACUGAAGGACUGGAGUCAUGUGGAUUCCUUGUGGACUUUAGUGAUGUUUAUUUGGACUCUUAUUCUGACGGUACCCAGUCACUGCAGAGGAUCCAGUGGUGAGCAAGUUAUUUAAUGUUACAUUUCUCCAAAUCUGUUCUGAUGGUGAAAGAAACAUAUCCACAUCUUGGAUGCCUGAGGAAAAAGAAAACUUUUGGAAUGAUAUGGCAAUAAUUUUAUACUAGACAGCCUCAUUUGCUCAGCAUCUACCCUGACUCAGAUCUAUUUGUGUUAUUUUUGUCCUGGCGCAUUGUUAUGUGCUGGCAAGGUACCCAGGUGUGCCGUCUGAAGAGCCCAGCUGUGAGUGCUCAAGCUUCAGUGUUUUUAAUCAGAGAAAAACCUCCCACUGUCACAGUCUGUCACAGCCCACAGGAACUUCAGCAAUGCGUGCAAGUGAAGCGCACUCCUCGGACAUGCACCACUGCUGCAGACUGGGAUAUGAACGCUGAGCCUCUCGCAGAAAACUUUUCAGGCUCCGGCCCAUUCCGGCGAAAGCUUUUAUGUGAGAUUCUGCAGCUCGGCACAAUGCAUCGUGGCACUGAAUAUGAUGGUCUUUGAAUCAAGAGCUCUGAACCAAACUCAAACUGAAGCCACCUUUCAUCUCUGGGGGGCAUCCGCUGCGGGUGACACACUAUGGAGAAAUGUUUCCAGCUGCUCAUGAAUUCAUUACAGACUCUCAAACACCUCCUCCAGGUGCUGCAGAGAUAUCAGCGCUCGUUAACAUUCUGAAGCCAGUGUGCGCCAUCUAUCCAGUAGCCUUCCAGCUUCCUUCCAGUAACUUGCUGAUAGGCCUACUAAGGAUAGGUAAGAAGCACUGGGUUGGUUCACUCACCUUGUUAUAACCUGACCAGGGGGCAUGGGUUCCUCCUGGAAGCAGUUUUGAGCCCUGUCACAUGCACUAUGAAAACUAUGAACGCAGAAGGCCGGAUGUGCUGGUGAGAAAGGGCUUGCUGAAGGGAUUAUUAGAGAGCACAGUGAAGGUCACAGCAGACAUGUUCAGUGAGAAUGGGAGAAGACGUCUAUGGAGGACUGAAGAUACUGUACUGGGAUCAAAUGUUGCACACAUAGGGAAGGAAAACAAAGCAAAGCUUAAAGAAUGACAAUGCACACACACACACGGAUGAUAUUUGUCAGAAGCAUCAUACUCACGUGUGCCUGAUUUUAGAGUCAAGUGUCUUUCAAAAAUAUGUUUAUUUUUGAUCGUUCAUUUGCAUAACUGUCGGUACAUGUCAAAAUGAAAUAAAUGAAAUUCCCUUUGAUAUAACGAGCAGUUGUUGUAUAAAUAAAUACAUAUUUUUGACAAUUACUGUUGCCAAAAAUAAAGAAAAUAAUUGU